GGGAUGCAGUCUGGGACACGUAGUUGCAAACCUAGCGACUUUGUUGUUAGAUUCAAUGACUUUUCAGACACCCUAACGACUUUUUUUAGAAAGAAAGUGACUUUUAUCGACUUCUUCUGGAGUUUAGAGACUCUGACAUGAAGCAGGCUUUCCAUACUGAGGAGUUAGCAACGCUGCUAAGGGUGCAGAGCCACACAUGCGCUCAGAGCUCUGCAUGGGAGACUGAAGCUGACAGAGCUGCAGCAGUUAGCAGGUUUCACCCUCAGAGACCACCAGGGGUUCAUGUUGAGGCAUUUUAAUUUUUUUUUUUUUUUGUGCCAUAGACACUGUCAGCACAAUCUGCAGUUACACUAACAAAAAUGCUGCAAAAAACAAAGAAUUAUGGAAAAAUUACACAUGGACUGACAUAGAGGAGGAUCUACACAAGUUUUUUACAUCAUGUUUUACAUCAUGCAUCAUUUACAUCAUGUUUUUUUGUAGUGGCAUAAAUAAAAAGUGACAUUUGUGAGACUAUACAGUGUUUUGUAAAUAAUUUUACAAAGAACGCCUGGGCCAUUGCCUGCAUUUUGAUGUAAAUAGAGGUAAAUUACUAUGUUCUUUGUUAAAAAUUUGCAUAUGUUUUGAAGUUUACAAUUUUUAUUUGAAGUUUAAGUUUUAAAAACAGUUCAUCACACAUAUUUGUGGUUUAAUUUCACAUUAAUUUCCAUAUUGUAUAAAUGACUGGAAAAAACUUGAGCCCCUGCCCCUGUAUAAUCAUGUGCACGUCCCUGUUCUAGCUCCAAGGUGAAUCUUCACUGCUCAUGUUCUCCUCAGAAAUAGUCACCUCACUCCCCUCAGGUUACUGUACACAUGCACCAACUAUCUGCUUCAGGUUUGAAAUGGAGCUUCAUGGUUGUCUUUUGGAGAAAUGAACAGUCAAGUUGUGUUUGAAAUUUGAUUUUUUUCAGGGGCAAAAGGAAGCCUCUGCAUUCUUGUCAAAUAUGUAAACAGCAUGUUUUUGCAGGUGCUAAAAAACAGACUCUGAGUGUGUGUGUGUGUCUGUGUGUGUGUGUGUGUGUGUGUGUGUGUGUGUGUGUAUGUUGGCGUGUGUGUAUAUGUGUGUGUAUCCUGCAGUACUCUGUACUCCUGCAGUGGCCAAAAAGACUUUUAAGAAUGUGGAUUUUUGGGUCAUCUUUGGCGCCCCCUAGAACUGCAGUACUCUGUACUCCUGCAGUGGCCAAAAUGACUUUUAAGAAUGUGGAUUUUUGGGUCAUCUUUGGCGCCCCCUAGAACGUAAACCGUGGGGUGCAGCGUCAUGAUUUUUACAACUUUGAAUGGGCAUGGGGUGUAGAUAGCCCUGAGCAAAUUUGGUAUCGGUGGGACGAAAGCCUUAGGAGGAGAUAGCCACAUUCCAAUGUGUGCGAAUCGGCAAAAAAUGCAAAAUAGCCCUUUAACCGUACAUUAUACAGAUACGCGCUCUUUGACUUUUUCGUAGAUCUAAUUGAGAUACACAUGAUUGUCAAAUUUUGUGUCAAUAUGACAAAGCGUUCAGGCGUGACACUCAACAAUGUGUAUUUUUAUGUAAGGGGACAAGAAAAAAUUGCCUUUUUUCUCCUACCAUGGGGGGGCGCUCUUUUGGGGAGUAAAAAUUCCUUCACAAAUGUGUUGAUGGCUGGACAUUGCAUCAUCCUAGAAAACUUGGAGGCCAGUGAGGACAGAAAUAAAAAGUUAUAAAACAUUUAAGAAUGUGGAUUUUUGGGUUAUCUUUGGCGCCCCCUAGAACCUAAACCAUGGGGUGCAGCAUCAUGAUUUGAAUAACUUUUAAUGGCCAUGGGGUGUAGAUUGGCCUGAGCAAAUGUGGUGCCGGUGGAACGAAAGCCUUCGGAGGAGUUAGCGAAAUUCCAAUGUGUGCGUAUCGGCAAAAAAUGCGGAAUAACCCUUUAACUGUACAUUUGACAGAUACGCGCGCACUGACUUUUUUGUAGAUCUUAUUGAGUUACAUGUGUGUGUCAAUUUUUGUGUCAUUUUGACAAAGCGUAUAGGCGUGACACUCAACAAUGUGUAUUUUCACCUUAGGGGACAAGAAAAAAUGGAGUUUUUUCUCCUGCCAUGGGGGGGCGCUCUUUUGGGGAGUAAAAAUUCCUUCACAAAUGUGUUGAUGGCUGGACAUUGCAUCAUCCUAGAAAACUUGGAGGCCAGUGAGGACAAAAAUAAAAAGUUAUAAGACUUUUAAAUAUGUGGAUUUUAGUGUUAUCUUUGGCGCCCCCUAGAACCUAAACCGUGGGGUGCAGCGUCAUGAUUUUGAUAACUUUUAAUGGCCACGGGGUGUAGAUUGGCCUGAGCAAAUGUGGUGCCGGUGGAACGAAAGCCUUCGGAGGAGUUAGCGAAAUUCCAAUGUGUGCGGAUCGGCAAAAAAUGCGAAAUAACCCUUUAACCGUACAUUUGACAGAUACGCCCGCACUGACUUUUUUGUAGAUCUUAUUGAGAUACAUGUGUGUGUCAAUUUUUGUGUCAUUUUGACAAAGCGUACAGGCGUGACAGUCAAUAGUGUGAAUUUUCACCUUAGGGGGCGCUAUGGAGCCAUUUUGCAUUUUCUUGUUUGGGCGACUUCGGAAUAUCAAAUUUUUCACCAGGCCCGGUCGUCCUGCCAAAUUUCCUGAGUUUUCGCCAGUGGGAAGUGGGCCAUUUUCCAGUUCAAAGGGGAGGAAAAAGAAGAAAGAAAGAAACAAAGAAAAACCCCUACAGGAAUAACAGGGCCUACGCCCGGCUGCUCUGCAGCUGGCUCGGGCCCUAACUAGGGCCCCGGUGGGGCACUGUCGGGCCCGAGCCGCGUCGCGCCGCCCCCAGUGCGACCGCCUCCCUGUCCCGAUCGAGUCACACUCAAGAACCAAAGAUGGUGUGCGCACUUGUCUGUGGUCAUUUCCCAUUAUAAUGAAUGGGAGGCGCAGUUUCUACCAAAACACUCGCUGCAGACAAACUUCAUGUCCUAUUUGAAAAAAGUCUGGACCAUGAGUGAGGGCACAAACACAGCUAUGAUAUAUCGAAAUGCCAGGUUGCUCCUCCUUACGGUGUUGCCUGGAGAGCGAUGCGAUUGAGCCAUUGAGCGAUGGGCAGGGAAAACUUGACUUUUUCUCCUGCCAUGGGGGGGAUGUGGAUUCUUUUAAGAAUGUGGAUUUUUGGGUCAUCUUUGGCGCCCCCUAGAACGUAAACCGUGGGGUGCAGCGUCAUGAUUUUUACAACUUUGAAUGGCCAUGGGGUGUAGAUUGGCCUGAGCAAAUUUGGUGUCAGUGGGACGAAAGCCUUAGGAGGAGUUAGCCACAUUCCAAUGUGUGCGAAUCGGCAAAAAAUGCAAAAUAGCCCUUUAACCGUACAUUUGACAGAUACGCACGAAUUGACUUUUUUGUAGAUCUUAUUGAGAUACAUAUGUGUGUCAAUUUUUGUGUCAAUAUGAUAAAGCGUACAGGCGUGACAGUCAAUAGUGUGAAUUUCCACCUUAGGGGACAAGAAAAAAUGGACUUUUUUCUCCUGCCAUGGGGGGGCGCUCUUUUGGGGAGUAAAAAUUCCUUCACAAAUGUGUUGAUGGCUGGACAUUGCAUCAUCCUAGAAAACUUGGAGGCCAGUGAGGACAAAAAUAAAAAGUUAUAAGACUUUGAAAUAUGUGGAUUUUAGGGUUAUCUUUGGCGCCCCCUAGAACCUAAACCGUGGGAUGCAGCGUCAUGAUUUGAAUAACUUUUAAUGGCCAUGGGGUGUAGAUUGGCCUGAGCAAAUGUGGUGCCGGUGGAACGAAAGCCUUCGGAGGAGUUAGCGAAAUUCCAAUGUGUGCGGAUCGGCAAAAAAUGCGGAAUAACCCUUUAACCGUACAUUUGACAGAUACGCGCGCAUUGACUUUUUCGUAGAUCUUAUUGAGAUACAUGUGUGUGUCAAAUUUUGUGUCAUUUUGCCAAAGCGUACAGGUGUUACACUCAACAAUGUGUAUUUUCACCUUAGGGGACAAGAAAAAAUGGACUUUUUUCUCCUGCCAUGGGGGGGCGCUCUUUUGGGGAGUAAAAAUUCCUUCACAAAUGUGUUGAUGGCUGGACAUUGCAUCAUCUUAGAAAACUUGGAGGCCAGUGAAGACAAAAAUAAAAAGUUAUAAGACUUUUAAAUAUGUGGAUUUUAGUGUUAUCUUUGGCGCCCCCUAGAACCUAAACCUUGGGGUGCAGCGUCAUGAUUUUGAUAACUUUUAAUGGCCACGGGGUGUAGAUUGGCCUGAGCAAAUGUGGUGCCGGUGGAACGAAAGCCUUCGGAGGAGUUAGCGAAAUUCCAAUGUGUGCGGAUCGGCAAAAAAUGCGAAAUAACCCUUUAACCGUAAUUUUGACAGAUACGGCCGCACUGACUUUUUUGUAGAUCUUAUUGAGAUACAUAUGUGUGUCAAUUUUUGUGUCAAUAUGACAAAGCGUACAGGCGUGACAGUCAAUAGUGUGAAUUUCCACCUUAGGGGGCGCUAUGGAGCCAUUUUGCAUUUUAUUGUUUGGGCGACUUCAGAAUAUCGAAUUUUUCACCAGGCCCGGUCGUCCUGCCAAAUUUCAUGAGUUUUCACCAGUGGGAAGUGGGCCAUUUUCCAGUUCAAAGGGGAGGAAAAAGAAGAAAGAAAGAAAGAAAGAAAGAAACAAAGAAAAACCACUUGGGGAAUAAUAGGGCCUACGCCCGGCUGCUCUGCAGCUGGCUCGGGCCCUAACUAGGGCCCCGGUGGGGCACUGUCGGGCCCGAGCCGCGUUGUGCCGCCCCCAGCGUGACCGCCUCCCCCUCCCGAUCGCGUCACACUCAAGGUCCAAAGAUGGUGUGCGCACUUGUCUGUGGUCAUUUCCCAUUAUAAUGAAUGGGAGGCGCAGUUUCUACCAAAACACUCGCUGCAGACAAACUUCAUGUCCUAUUUGAAAAAAGUCUGGACCAUGAGUGAGGGCACAAACACAGCUGGGAUAUAUCCAAAUGGCAGGUUGCUCCUGGAUACGGUGUUGCCUGGAGAGCGAUGCGAUUGAGCCAUUGAGCGAUGGGCAGGAAAAACUUGACUUUUUCUCCUGCCAUGGGGGGGGAGAAUGUGGAUUCUUUUAAGAAUGUGGAUUUUUUGGUCAUCUUUGGCGCCCCCUAGAACGUAAACCGUGGGGUGCAGCGUCAUGAUUUUUACAACGUUGAAUGGCCAUGGGGUGUAGAUUGGCCUGAGCAAAUUUAGUUUCAGUGGGACGAAAGCCUUAGGAGGAGUUAGCCACAUUCCAAUGUGUGCGAAUCGGCAAAAAAUGCAAAAUAGCCCUCUAACCGUACAUUUGACAGAUACGCACCCAUUGACUUUUUCGUAGAUCUUAUUGAGAUACACGUGAUUGUCAAAUUUUGUGUCAAUAUGACAAAGCGUACAGGUGUCACACUCAACAAUGUGAAUUUUCACCUUACGGGACAAGAAAAAAUUGACUUUUUUCUCCUGCCAUGGGGGGGCGCUCUUUUAGGGAGUAAAAAUUCCUUCACAAAUGUGUUGAUGGCUGGACAUUGCAUCAUCCUAGAAAACUUGGAGGCCAGUGAGGACAAAAAGAAAAAGUUAUAAGACUUUGAAAUAUGUGGAUUUUAGGGUUAUCUUUGGCGCCCCCUAGAACCUAAAUCGUGGGGUGCAGCGUCAUGAUUUGAAUAACUUUUAAUGGCCAUGGGGUGUAGAUUGGCCUGAGCAAAUGUGGUGCCGGUGGAACGCCAGCCUUAGGAGGAGUUAGCGAAAUUCCAAUGUGUGCGGAUCAGCAAAAAAUGCAGAAUAACCCUUUAACCGUACAUUUGACAGAUACGCGCGCAUUGACUUUUUCGUAGAUCUUAUUGAGAUACAUGUGUGUGUCAAAUUUUGUGUCAAUAUGACAAAGCGUACAGGCGUGACACUCAACAAUGUGUAUUUUCACCUUAGGGGACAAGAAAAAAUGGACUUUUUUCUCCGGCCAUGGGGGGGCGCUCUUUUGGGGAGUAAAAAUUCCUUCACAAAUGUGUUGAUGGCUGGACAUUGCAUCAUCCUAGAAAACUUGGAGGCCAGUGAGGGCAAAAAUAAAAAGUUAUAAGACUUUUAAAUAUGUGGAUUUUAGGGUUAUCUUUGGCGCCCCCUAGAACCUAAACCGUGGGGUGCAGCGUCAUGAUUUGAAUAACUUUUAAUGGCCAUGGGGUGUAGAUUGGCCUGAGCAAAUGUGGUGCAGGUGGAAAGAAAGCCUUCGGAGGAGUUAGCGAAAUUCCAAUGUGUGCGGAUCUGCAAAAAAUGCGAAAUAACCCUUUAACCGUACAUUUGACAGAUACGCCCGCACUGACUUUUUUGUAGAUCUUAUUGAGAUACAUAUGUGUGUCAAUUUUUGUGUCAUUUUGACAAAGCGUAAAGGCGUGACAGUCAAUAGUGUGAAUUUUCACCUUAGGGGGCGCUAUGGAGCCAUUUUGCAUUUUCUUGUUUGGGCGACUUCGGAAUAUCAAAUUUUUCACCAGGCCCGGUCAUCCUGCCAAAUUUCAUGAGUUUUCGCCAGUGGGAAGUGGGCCAUUUUCCAGUUCAAAGGGGAGGAAAAAGAAGAAACUAGGGCCCCGUUGGGGCACUGGCGGGCCCGAGCCGUGUCACGCCGCCCCCAGCGCGACCGCCUCCCCCAUCCGAUCGCGUCACACUCAAGGUCCAAAGAUGGUGUGCGCACUUGUUUGUGGUCAUUUACCAUUAUAAUGAACGGGAGGCGCAGUUUCUACCAAAACGCUCGCUGCAGAAAAACUCCAUGUCUUAUUUGAAAAAAGUCUGAACCAUGAGUGAGGGCACAAACACAGCUAAGAUAUAUCCAAAUGGCAAGUUGCUCCUCCUUUCGCUUUUGCCGAGAGAGCAGUGCGUUUGAGCCAUUGAAUGAUGAACAGGAAAAACUUGACUUUAUUCUCCUGCCAUGGGGGGGCGCUCUUUUAAAGAGAAAAAACUCCUUCACAAAUGUGUUGAUGGCUGGACAUUGCAUCAU